GAUGAACGCUGGCGGCGUGCCUAAUACAUGCAAGUCGAGCGAACGGACGAGAAGCUUGCUUCUCUGAUGUUAGCGGCGGACGGGUGAGUAACACGUGGAUAACCCACAUAUAAGACUUGGAUAACUUCGGGAAACCGGAGCUAAUACCGGAUGAUAUUUUGAACCGCAUGGUUCAAAAGUGAAAGACGGUCUUGCUGUCACUUAUAGAUGGAUAUGCGCUGCAUUAGCUAGUUGGUAAGGUAACGGCUUACCAAGGCAACGAUGCAUAGCCGACCUGAGAGGGUGGUCAGCCACACUGGAACUGAGACACGGUCCAGACUCCUACGGGAGGCAGCAGUAGAGAAUCUUCCGCAAUGGACGAAAGCCUGACGGAGCAACGCCGCGUGAGUGAUGAAGGUCUUCGGAUCGUAAAACUCUGUUAUUAGGGAAGAACAUAUGUGUAAGUAACUGUGCACAUCUUGACGGUACCUAAUCAGAAAGCCACGGCUAACUACGUG
rnacentral:rRNA from 1 species